GACGAACGCUGGCGGCGUGCUUAACACAUGCAAGUCGAACGGGCUGAAGUGAUAGCUUGCUAUUAUGGAUGCUAGUGGCAAACGGGUGAGUAACGCGUAGGCAACCUGCCCUUCAGAUGGGGACAACACUUCGAAAGAGGUGCUAAUACCGGAUAACAACACUAGACGCAUGUCUAGAGUUUGAAAGAUGGUUCUGCUAUCACUCUUGGAUGGACCUGCGGUGCAUUAGCUAGUUGGUAAGGUAACGGCUUACCAAGGCAAUGAUGCAUAGCCGAGUUGAGAGACUGAUCGGCCACAUUGGGACUGAGACACGGCCCAA
rnacentral:rRNA from 1 species